rnacentral:rRNA from 1 species
UACGAAGGGUGCAAGCGUUACUCGGAAUUACUGGGCGUAAAGCGUGCGUAGGUGGUUUGUUAAGUCUGCUGUGAAAGCCCCGGGCUCAACCUGGGAAUGGCAGUGGAUACUGGCAAGCUAGAGUGCGGUAGAGGGUAGUGGAAUUCCCGGUGUGAGCGGUGAAAUGCGUAGAGAUCGGGAGGAACACCAGUGGCGAAGGCGGCUACCUGGACCAGCACUGACACUGAGGCACGAAAGCGUGGGGAGCAAACAGGG